rnacentral:rRNA from 1 species
AUUGAACGCUGGCGGCAUGCUUUACACAUGCAAGUCGAACGGCAGCACGGACUUCGGUCUGGUGGCGAGUGGCGAACGGGUGAGUAAUACAUCGGAACGUACCCAGUAAUGGGGGAUAACUAUCCUAAAGGAUAGCUAAUACCGCAUACGCCCUACGGGGGAAAGAGGGGGAUCGCAAGACCUCUUGUUAUUGGAGCGGCCGAUGGCUGAUUAGCUAGUUGGUAGGGUAAAGGCCUACCAAGGCAACGAUCAGUAGCGGGUCUUAGAGGACGAUCCGCCACACUGGAACUGAGACACGGUCCAGACUCCUACGGGAGGCAGCAGUGGGGAAUCUUGGACAAUGGGCGCAAGCCUGAUCCAGCAAUGCCGCGUGCGUGAAGAAGGCCUUCGGGUUGUAAAGCGCUUUUGUCAGGGAGCAAAUCCUUGUGGCUAAUACCCACCGGGGAUGAGAGUACCUGAAGAAUAAGGACCGGCUAACUACGUGCCAGCAGCCGCCGUAAGAC